UACGUAGGGUGCAAGCGUUAAUCGGAAUUACUGGGCGUAAAGCGUGCGCAGGUGGUUGUGCAAGCCAGAUGUGAAAUCCCCGGGCUUAACCUGGGAAUGGCAUUUGGGACUGCACGGCUAGAGUGUGGCAGAGGGGGGUGGAAUUCCGCGUGUAGCAGUGAAAUGCGUAGAGAUGCGGAGGAACACCGAUGGCGAAGGCAGCCCCCUGGGUUAACACUGACACUCAUGCACGAAAGCGUGGGGAGCAAACAGG
rnacentral:rRNA from 1 species